GACGAACGCUGGCGGCGUGCUUGACACAUGCAAGUCGAACGGUAAGGCCCUUCGGGGUACACGAGUGGCGAACGGGUGAGUAACACGUGGGUGAUCUGCCCUGCACUUCGGGAUAAGCCUGGGAAACUGGGUCUAAUACCGGAUAGGACCACUGCCUGCAUGGGUGGUGGUGGAAAGCUUCUGCGGUGUGGGAUGGGCCCGCGGCCUAUCAGCUUGUUGGUGGGGUGAUGGCCUACCAAGGCGACGACGGGUAGCCGGCCUGAGAGGGUGACCGGCCACACUGGGACUGAGAUACGGCCCAGACUCCUACGGGAGGCAGCAGUGGGGAAUAUUGCACAAUGGGCGCAAGCCUGAUGCAGCGACGCCGCGUGAGGGAUGACGGCCUACGGGUUGUAAACCUCUUUCAGCACCGACGAAGCGCAAGUGACGGUAGGUGCAGAAGAAGGACCGGCCAACUACGUGCCAGCCGCCGCCGUAA
rnacentral:rRNA from 1 species